rnacentral:rRNA from 1 species
AGGGGGCACCCUGAUCCGCCAUGCCGCGUGCAGGAAGACUGCCCUAUGGGUUGUAAACUGCUUUUGUACGGGAAGAAACCCAUCUACGUGUAGAUGGCUGACGGUACCGUAAGAAUAAGGAUCGGCUAACUCCGUGCCAGCAGCCGCGGUAAUACGGAGGAUCCGAGCGUUAUCCGGAAUCAUUGGGUUUAAAGGGUCCGUAGGCGGGCAGUUAAGUCAGUGGUGAAAGUCCUCCGCUCAACGGGGGAACUGCCAUUGAUACUGAUUGUCUUGAGUCACUGUGAAGUGGUUGGAAUGAGUAGUGUAGCGGUGAAAUGCAUAGAUAUUACUCAGAACACCUAUUGCGAAGGCAGAUCACUAACAGUGCACUGACGCUGAUGGACGAAAGCGUGGGUAGCGAACAGGAUUAGAUACCCUGGUAGUCCACGCCGUAAACGAUGGUUACUAGCUGUCCGGACCAAUUGAGGUCUGGGUGGUUAAGCGAAAGUGAUAAGUAACCCACCUGGGGAGUACGUUCGCAAGAAUGAAACUCAAGAAUUUGGACCGG